rnacentral:tRNA from 1 species
AGAGGGGUGGCCGAGUGGUUUAAGGCGUGCGCUUGGAAAGCGUAUAUACGUUAAUAGCGUAUCGUGGGUUCGAAUCCCAUCCCCUCUGCCA